rnacentral:rRNA from 1 species
GAUCAUGGCUCAGAUUGAACGCUGGCGGCAUGCCUUACACAUGCAAGUCGAACGGCAGCACGGAGCUUGCUCCUGGUGGCGAGUGGCGAACGGGUGAGUAAUACAUCGGAACGUACCCUGAAGUGGGGAUAACGUAGCGAAAGUUACGCUAAUACCGCAUAUUCUGUGAGCAGGAAAGAGGGGGAUCGCAAGACCUCUUGCUUUAGGAGCGGCCGAUGUCGGAUUAGCUAGUUGGUGAGGUAAAGGCUCACCAAGGCGACGAUCCGUAGCGGGUCUGAGAGGAUGAUCCGCCACACUGGGACUGAGACACGGCCCAGACUCCUACGGGAGGCAGCAGUGGGGAAUUUUGGACAAUGGGCGCAAGCCUGAUCCAGCCAUGCCGCGUGAGUGAAGAAGGCCUUCGGGUUGUAAAGCUCUUUCGGUGGGGAAGAAAUUGCUUCGGUUAAUACCUGGAGUAGAUGACGGUACCCGCAUAAGAAGCACCGGCUAACUGCGUG